UAAUCAAGGUGGGCCAUUUCCAUUACAAAUCCAGGUUUUAUUCCCCCCCUCCCCUUAGUGACUUGCCCAAAGCAGAAUAUUCUUUAGUCUUAUCUGAGAACUCAGGAAUUCUGGAGUCUAGGCUGUUUCUUAGUCCACUAGCCCAUUCUACCUUUGCGAUUGUGAAAUAGCAGAAAAAUUCCCAAGUAUCUGGUGGCCCUUGCACUCGGCAUUAAGCGCUGUUUAUUUUAUUUUAUUUUUUUUGCUUUAUGGGUUUGAGAUUUUUCAAGAAUUGCGUGAAGCUUUGAGAAUAACCUUUGCUGCUGUUUUUCCUCUCUGUAUGUUUUCUGCAUUUGACAUACUUAGCGCACUUUUUGAAAAAAGUCAAUAUUAGCUGUCUGUGUUGGAGUUCCGCACCAAUGCAGCUGUCUUGUAGCGAUGCCAUAAGUAUAUACCUCCAGAUUAUUUCUGAUUGGGUCUUCUGCAAAGUUCUUAUUUCAUAAAUACUGUGCCAAAAUAAGAACUCCCUUUUUGUAAACUUCCUUUGUUUAAUCAUUUCAUACUAUAUAGCAUGCCAUAUAAGCUAUAGUGUACAAAAUGUAUUUGAUCAAGAGUAACUUAGAGCAAUGAGCUAACUAGCUUGCAAUACUGUAUGUUUUAGAAUUAACUCUGUAAAUAUAAUACGUAGUUCUUUGGGUUGAAUUUGUAGUAAAAACUUGUUUAUCUCCAUUCAGUUACUCUUAAUGUAAAUGUAAGGGAUUAGUGAAGUAGGGAACUGAAAUUUUUCUAGAGUUACUACAAGAAAAAUUCACUGGGAAGAGAAAUCUGGGGGUCUCUGUUCUUAAAUAAUUUGACUUUAUGUUGCUGUGAAUUUUUAGUAACGGGAGAAGACCUUUACUGAUGAAAGUGGCAGUUCAGUGCUUCACAACCUUUUUCAAUACCUGGACUUCAUGUUAUGAACAGAAAAAUGUUUCAGGAUCCCUACCUCCAAUCUGCCCAUAAAGAAGGGGAGAGUGAUUUUGUCACUUCACUCCACCCUUGAAACCUGCUUGUGAUCCUUGGGUUGAGAAGCAGUGUGUUAGUCAAUCCAGGGAGGAGAGGGGUUUAAAAAGCCAGCUCCUAAGUGACCAGAGAAGCUAGCAAACAGAGGAGUUUUACAAGGGAGCUCUCCAGGUAUAAGAAGAGUGACUAUUGUGACCCUUGGGUACAUCAGGAACAGGAAGACUGCCAAACAAUCACUGGAGAAUCAGGGUGCUAAAUGAGCACUCAAGCAAGAGGAGGCCAUGAGGGAGAAGCUAAAUGAAUCCUUGCAUUGUUCUUCACUGCAGAGGAUGUGAGGGAGAUUCCCACUCUUGAGCCAUUCUUUUUAGGAAUUGCAACAACAGGGAGAAGAUGUCAACAAGAAUGGAAACAGUGGAAGCAGAACAACAACUUCAGUGAGGAAGCUGAGCGUAUAGAUGCUGUGAAUAUUUGCACUCUAUAUUGGACACAGUCUUACAGCCCUGGAUGAGUUCCCCUCGUGGAAGAUCACCAGUCUGCUUUAUUAGACCCAACAUUUGGAUCCCACAUGCUUUCAAGCCAACUGGGUCUGAGCAACAUCCAGACACUGUCUAGUUCUGGCAUCACA